GGGGAGAUACCUAAGUGGCCAACAGGGGUAGACUGUAAAUCUACUGUCGUACGACUUCGGAGGUUCGAAUCCUUCUCUCCCCACAA
rnacentral:tRNA from 1 species